GCGGGAAGAGCUCAAAUUUAAAAUCUGGCAGGCUACGCUUGUCCGAAUUGUAAUCUCGAGAAGUGUUUUCCGCGUUGGCCUGUGUACAAGUCCCUUGGAACAGGGCGUCAUAGAGGGUGAGAAUCCCGUCCUUGACACAGACACCCAAUGCUUUGUGAUACACUCUCAAUGAGUCGAGUUGUUUGGGAAUGCAGCUCAAAAUGGGUGGUAAAUUCCAUCUAAAGCUAAAUACUGGCGAGAGACCGAUAGCGAACAAGUACCGUGAGGGAAAGAUGAAAAGCACUUUGGAAAGAGAGUCAAACAGUACGUGAAAUUGUUGAAAGGGAAACGAUUGAAGUCAGUCGUGCCUGCCUAGAUUCAGCCUUCUGGUGUAUUUCUAGGUCGGCAGGUCAGCAUCAGUUUGGGGGGGUUAACAAGGGAGCUGGGAAUGUGGCAACCUCGGUUGUGUUAUAGCCCAGUUUCGCAUUGAUCUCGCUGGACUGAGGAACGCAGUGCGCCCGCAAGGGUUGGUCUUCGGACACAUUCGCACUUAGGAUGCUGGCAUAAUGGCUUUAAACGACCCGUCUU
rnacentral:rRNA from 1 species